UGGGAACCUUCCCUAUGGUUCGGAAUAGCUCAGGGAAACUUGGGGUAAUACCGGAUAAGCCCUUCGGGGGAAAGAUUUAUCGCCAUUGGAUGGGCCCGCGUCGGAUUAGCUAGUUGGUGAGGUAACGGCUCACCAAGGCAACGAUCCGUAGCUGGUCUGAGAGGAUGAUCAGCCACACUGGGACUGAGACACGGCCCAGACUCCUACGGGAGGCAGC
rnacentral:rRNA from 1 species